UACGUAGGGUGCGAGCGUUGUCCGGAAUUACUGGGCGUAAAGAGCUCGUAGGCGGUUUGUCGCGUUGUUCGUGAAAACUCACAGCUUAACUGUGGGCGUGCGGGCGAUACGGGCAGACUGGAGUACUGCAGGGGAGACUGGAAUUCCUGGUGUAGCGGUGGAAUGCGCAGAUAUCGUGAGGAACACCGGUGGCGAAGGCGGUUCUCUGGGCCUUACCUGACGCUGAGGAGCGAAAGCGUGGGGAGCGAACAGG
rnacentral:rRNA from 1 species